rnacentral:rRNA from 1 species
GGUUGAUCCUGCCAGUAGUCAUAUGCUUGUCUCAAAGAUUAAGCCAUGCAUGUCUAAGUAUAAGCAAAUUAUACAGCGAAACUGCGAAUGGCUCAUUAAAUCAGUUAUAGUUUAUUUGAUGGUUUCUCCCACAUGGAUAACUGUGGUAAUUCUAGAGCUAAUACAUGCAAAAAAGCCCCGACUUCUGGAAGGGGUGUAUUUAUUAGAUUCAAAGCCAAUGGCCUUCGGGUCUUUCGGUGAUUCAUAAUAACUUCUCGAAUCGCAUGCCCUUGUGGUGGCGAUGCUUCAUUCAA